rnacentral:rRNA from 1 species
GGGUCAGUAGGUUGGUCGUGCCACCGGUACGUACUGGUCUCACUGAUUCCUCCUUCCUGAAGAACCGUAAUGCCAUUAAUAUGGUGUUGCGGGGAGACAGGACUGUUACUUUGAAAAAAUUAGAGUGUUUAAAGCAAGCUAACGCUUGAAUACAUUAGCAUGGAAUAAUGAAAUAGGACGAUCGAUCCUAUUUUGUUGGUUUCUAGGAUUGACGUA